AUACGUAGGGGGCGAGCGUUGUCCGGAAUGAUUGGGCGUAAAGGGCGCGUAGGCGGCUCGGUAAGUCUGGAGUGAAAGUCCUGUUUUUAAGAUGGGAAUUGCUUUGGAUACUGUCGGGCUUGAGUGCAGGAGAGGUAAGUGGAAUUCCCAGUGUAGCGGUGAAAUGCGUAGAGAUUGGGAGGAACACCAGUGGCGAAGGCGACUUACUGGACUGUAACUGACGCUGAGGCGCGAAAGUGUGGGGAGCAAACAGGAUUAGAUACCCUGGUAGUCCACACUGUAAACGAUGAAUGCUAGGUGUAGGGGGUAUCGACCCCUUCUGUGCCGCAGUCAACACAAUAAGCAUUCCGCCUGGGGAGUACGGCCGCAAGGUUGAAACUCAAAGGAAUUGGCGGGG
rnacentral:rRNA from 1 species